UACGUAGGGUGGCGAGCGUUAAUCGGAAUUACUGGGCGUAAAGCGUGCGCAGGCGGUUCGUUGUGUCGGUGGUGAAAUCCCCGGGCUUAACCUGGGAAUGGCCAUGGAACUGGCGAACUGGAGUGCGGGCAGAGGGGGGUGGAAUUCCGGGUGGUAGCGGAUGGGAAUGCGUAGAGGAAUCCGGAAGAACACCGGUGGCGAAGGCGGUCUGCUGGGCGAGUGAGCUGGACACUGAGGCGCGACAGCGUGGGGAGCAACAGGG
rnacentral:rRNA from 1 species